GUACGCCGAUAUCCGCGUUUUACGGAACCGAUAAAUGUGCUAAAAUUCUGUGCCACGCUUUUUGAACUUCGCAUUUAGAGAGAUAAAAUGAGUGAAGAGAUAAAUUAUGCACAAGCUAUUGAAAGCUUAUAUGAAAAAUUAAACACUAUGGAGAAUACAAUAAACAAUUUAGUUAACGCUUUGAAACCUUCAUCAAGUUCCUCAAUGAUUGUCCCAGCUACAACUACAGCUGUAUCUCCAAAUUCCAAC